UCAUAUGCUUGUCUCAAAGAUUAAGCCAUGCAUGUCUAAGUACAUGCCGCUUUAAGGCGAAACCGCGAAUGGCUCAUUAAAUCAGUUACGGUUUACUAGAUGUUGAGUAUCCUACUUGGAUAACUGUGGUAAUUCUAGAGCUAAUACAUGCACAAAAUCCGAGACUGCUGCGUCGCAAGGCGUGGUGGAAACGGAGCACUUAUUAGACCAAGACCAAUGCAUUGUGUGAGCAAUCAUGUGAUGCUACGAGAUGGUGACUCUGGAUAAUUUACAACUUGCUGAUCGCAUGGCCUACGUGCCGGCGACGAAUCUUUCAAGUGUCUGCCUUAUCAACUGUCGAUGGUGGGUUCCAUGCCUACCAUGGUUGUAACGGGUAACGGGGAAUCAGGGUUCGAUUCCGGAGAGGGAGCCUGAGAAACGGCUACCACAUCCAAGGAAGGCAGCAGGCGCGCAAAUUACUCAAUCCCGGCGCGGGGAAGUAGUGACGAAAAAUAACAAUACGGGACUCUUUUGAGGACUCGUAAUUGGAAUGAGAACAAUAGCAAAUCCUUUAGCGAGGAUCAAUUGGAGGGCAAGUCUGGUGCCAGCAGCCGCGGUAAUUCCAGCUCCAAUAGCGUAUAUUAAAGUUGUUGCGGGUAAAAAGCUCGUAGUUGUAUCUCAUUUGGUUGUUUGUUGUCGACUGCUACGUGUGGUCGUUACAACUUGCACCAAAAUUUGUUGUUGGGAGGUGUGUCGCAAGAUGCACUGUUCGUGCCGCGGUGCCCUUGAUUGUGGCUGCCGUGACCGCCCAGCAGGUUUACUUUGAAGAAAUUAGAGUGCUUAAAGCAGGCAUACUCGCAAGAGUGGUGCCCGAAUACUGUUGCAUGGAAUAAUGGAAUAGGAUCUCGGUCUUGUUCUGUUGGUCUUUGUCACUACGUCGCAAGGCGUAGUGGCUACUCGAGACAUUCGAGAUAAUGAUUAAGAGGGACAGACGGGGGCAUUCGUAUUGCGGCGCUAGAGGUGAAAUUCUUGGACCGCUGCAAGACGAACUACAGCGAAAGCAUUUGCCAAGAAUGUUUUCAUUAAUCAAGAACGAAAGUAAGAGGUUCGAAGGCGAUCAGAUACCGCCCUAGUUCUAACCAUAAACGAUGCCAACCAGCGAUCCGUGAUAGUUAUUAAACUUUGAAGACUACACGGGCAGCUUCCGGGAACCCAAAGUGUUUCGGUUCCGGGGGAAGUAUGGUUGCAAAGCUGAAACUUAAAGGAAUUGACGGAAGGGCACCACCAGGAGUGGAGCCUGCGGCUUAAUUUGACUCAACACGGGGAAACUCACCCGGCCCGGACACUGGAAGGAUUGACAGAUUGAGAGCUCUUUCUUGAUUCAGUGGGUGGUGGUGCAUGGCCGUUCUUAGUUGGUGGAGUGAUUUGUCUGGUUAAUUCCGAUAACGAACGAGACUCUAGUCUGCUUACUACGUUGGUGAGGUUGGGGUGACUUUUGUGAUUAUAAGCGGUUCGCGCCCUUGUGUCAUAUCAUGAACCUCACUACCUUCACCAGUUUACUUCUUAGAGAGACUGGCGGCGUUUCAGCCGCACGAAACAGAGCAAUAACAGGUCUGUGAUGCCCUUAGAUGUCCGGGGCCGCACGCGCGCUACACUGAAAGGUGCAACGUGCUUUAAUACAAAUACCUACUCUGAAAGGAGUGGGGAACCCCAUGAACCCUUUUCGUGAUUGGGAUAGGGCCUUGUAAUUGUUGCCCUUGAACGAGGAAUUCCCAGUAAGCGCGAUUCAUCCAGAUCGCGUUGAUUACGUCCCUGCCCUUUGUACACACCGCCCGUCGCUACUACCGAUUGAAUGAUUGGGUGAGCUCUUUGGAGUGGAGCUUAACUGCUGCUUUCGCGAGUGGCAGACUAGUUCUGCAAAGAUGCGCAAACUCGUUCAUUUAGAGGAAGUAAAAGUCGUAACAAGGUUUCCGU
rnacentral:rRNA from 1 species